AGUCCAGUAGCACCUUAGAGACCAACUAAGUAUGUUCUGGGUAUAAGCUUUCUGUGUGCAUGCACACUUCUUCAGAUACCUGCAAGCACACUUCUUAGUUGGUCUCUAAGGUGCUACUGGACU